AGAGUUUGAUCCUGGCUCAGGAUGAACGCUGGCGGCAUGCCUAAUACAUGCAAGUCGAACGGAGAACUUCGGUUCUCAGUGGCGAACGGGCGAGUAACACGUAGGUAACCUGCCCAUGUGCCCGGGAUAACGGUUGGAAACGGCUGCUAAAACCGGAUAGGUAGGGGGAAGGCAUCCUCCUUCUAUUAAAGGGGCUCCAGCCCUGAACAUGGAUGGACCUGCGGUGCAUUAGCUAGUUGGUGAGGUAACGGCCCACCAAGGCGACGAUGCAUAGCCGACCUGAGAGGGCGAACGGCCACAUUGGGACUGAGACACGGCCCAAACUCCUACGGGAGGCAGCAGUAGGGAAUUUUCGUCAAUGGGGGGAACCCUGAACGAGCAAUGCCGCGUGAGUGAAGACGGAUUUCGGUCUGUAAAGCUCUGUUGCGAGAGAAAAACGGUAUGGAUAGGGAAUGAUCCAUAAGUGAUGGUAUCUCGCCAGAAAGUCACGGCUAACUACGUGCCAGCAGCCGCGGUAAUACGUAGGUGGCGAGCGUUAUCCGGAAUGAUUGGGCGUAAAGGGUGCGUAGGUGGCAAGGUAAGUCUGAAGUCAAAGCCGGCAGCUCAACUGUCGUACGCUUUGGAAACUGCCUGGCUAGAGUGCAGGAGAGGGCAAUGGAACUCCAUGUGUAGCGGUAAAAUGCGUAGAUAUAUGGAAGAACACCAGUGGCGAAGGCGGUUGCCUGGCCUGUAACUGACACUGAGGCACGAAAGCGUGGGGAGCAAAUAGGAUUAGAUACCCUAGUAGUCCACGCCCUAAACGAUGAGAACUA
rnacentral:rRNA from 1 species